AUGUUUUAGUGAAAUUGUGUAGAGUCAACCUUGCAUCUGGUUCUGAGGCUUCGUGGUGGCAUUAUCGAGCCUUCUUUGAUGGCAUUGGCUAGGAAAUACAAUCAGGACAAGAUGAUCUGCCACAAGUGUUAUGCUCGUCUGCACCCCCGUGCUGUGAACUGCAUGAAAAAGAAGUGUGGUCACCGCAACCAGUUGAGGCCAGAGAAGAAGAUCAAGUAGAUGUUUUCGAGAGGCAGGAAAUUCUGAUUCUACUAUUAUUAGAUUUCUGGAUGUUUUCUUAGGACGG